UGCAAUAACCAUAUGUUUAGGUUCUUGAAUGUUGCUUUGCAUAUUCGACCUAUCCGGACGUCGGGUAUCAUUGCUAAAUGGUCACCUCGAUUAGUGCAUGGAGUAGUCCAUGUACUACCGGCUUAGUGUUCGAACCUAUCGGAGUCACGCACAUUAGUCAAACUAAGUAGGAAGGUCUUGACCCAAUUUAAUUAAGAAUUAAAUUAUGGGUCAUUUGGAAUUUAGUUCUGUCUAUGUUCCGCUAGCACCGAACAUGAGGUACAUGCUAAAUUUCAUGGAUGAACAACUAAUUAAGUCUGUAUUUCGGGUCAAUCAAGUUUCAAUUAAUGUAAUGGAACUUGAUCAGGACUCAAUUGUUGAGAUUGGAUUUGAUUGGGUCUAAAUUAGUGUAAUUGGGCUCGAUCAUGAUUUAAGUGAGAUUUAAUUUCGUAUUUGUUCUGAUCUAAGUCGGAUUUGGAUCGAGCCGAAACUAGACCCAAUUGAAUUCCCCAUGAGUCGGACUCAUGUGGAAUUUUUUCCGAGUCAAAAAUCAUUUAAAUCGGCUGUCAAUUUGGAUUAGAACCAAAUAGGCUUGCUUUAUUACAAAAUGGGCUAACCCAUUUCCUAUUUGGCUAAACCCAUUUCAAUGGUUAACGGCUGACUUGAUUUUUAAAUCCCAUGGACCCAUGGACCACUUUCCCUCAUGGACCCUUAACACUUUUCUUUGUGAGCCGCGAUGGAGAAAUGCUGGGAGGAGAAAACAGAGCCUUCUUCCUCCCAGCUUCGUCUCCACACCGCGCCACCGUCUAGCCUCCGUUCGGCUUGCCGUCUAGACCAAAAUGUUCGGUUUUGAACUGGCUACAUUCCGAUUCAUUUAGAUUUUUGAAAUCUGGCACGUUUUCAUGGAUUCACUAGUUUUUUCCCACCGUUUGUUUUGAAACAAGCGUUAUGAAAUUCAUCCAUAAAUGAAUUCUUUAAUGCUCGGUCAAUAACGCCUCUUAACUCCUCUUAGCGUUGGCCUAUUUGAGGCCACCGUAUCAUCUUGAAGAUGAGAGGAUGAGAAUUUUCUUGAGAAGAAAAUUGUCAGACAGAAGGAGAG
rnacentral:lncRNA from 1 species